GCUUACGGCCAUACCAGCCCAAGAACGCCCGGUCUCGUUUGAUCUCGGAAGCUAAGAAGGCUUGGGCCUGAUUAGUACUUGGAUGGGAGACCUCCUGGGAAUACCAGGUGCUGUAAGCU
ensembl:rRNA 5S_rRNA 5S ribosomal RNA